UAGUAACGGCGAGUGAAGCGGCAACAGCUCAAAUUUGAAAUCUGGCCUCGGCCCGAGUUGUAAUUUGCAGAGGAAGCUUUAGGCGCGGCACCUUCUGAGUCCCCUGGAACGGGGCGCCAUAGAGGGUGAGAGCCCCGUAUAGUUGGAUGCCUAGCCUGUGUAAAGCUCCUUCGACGAGUCGAGUAGUUUGGGAAUGCUGCUCAAAAUGGGAGGUAAAUUUCUUCUAAAGCUAAAUACCGGCCAGAGACCGAUAGCGCACAAGUAGAGUGAUCGAAAGAUGAAAAGCACUUUGAAAAGAGGGUUAAAUAGCACGUGAAAUUGUUGAAAGGGAAGCGCUUGUGACCAGACUUGCGCCGGGCUGAUCAUCCGGUGUUCUCACCGGUGCACUCGGCCCGGCACAGGCCAGCAUCGGUUCUCGCGGGGGGAUAAAGGUCCCGGGAACGUAGCUCCUCCGGGAGUGUUAUAGCCCGGGGCGUAAUGCCCUCGCGGGGACCGAGGUUCGCGCGUCUGCAAGGAUGCUGGCGUAAUGGUCAUCAGCGACCCGUCUUGAAACACGGACCAAGGAGUCAAGGUUUUGCGCGAGUGUUUGGGUGUCAAACCCGCACGCGUAAUGAAAGUGAACGUAGGUGAGAGCUUCGGCGCAUCAUCGACCGAUCCUGAUGUUUUCGGAUGGAUUUGAGUAGGAGCGUUAAGCCUUGGACCCGAAAGAUGGUGAACUAUGCUUGGAUAGGGUGAAGCCAGAGGAAACUCUGGUGGAGGCUCGCAGCGGUUCUGACGUGCAAAUCGAUCGUCAAAUCUGAGCAU
rnacentral:rRNA from 1 species